GCCGGUGUGGCGGAAUUGGUAGACGCAGCGGAUUCAAAAUCCGCCGCUGGAAACAGUGUGUCGGUUCGAGUCCGACCACCGGCACCA
rnacentral:tRNA from 11 species